rnacentral:rRNA from 1 species
ACACAUGCAAGUCGAGGGGCAGCGAGGGAGUGGCAACACUUCUGUCGGCGACCGGCGCACGGGUGAGUAACGCGUAUGCAACCUGCCCUUCACAGGGGGAUAACCGGGAGAAAUUCCGACUAAUACCGCAUACGUCCUCCGGGGGCAUCCCCGGGGGAUGAAAGAAUUAUCGGUGAAGGAUGGGCAUGCGUGAUAUUAGGUAGUUGGCGGGGCAACGGCCCACCAAGCCCACGAUAUCUAGGGGUUCUGAGAGGAAGGUCCCCCACAUUGGUACUGAGACACGGACCAAACUCCUACGGGAGGCAGCAGUGAGGAAUAUUGGUCAAUGGACGAGAGUCUGAACCAGCCAAGUCGCGUGAAGGAAGACGGAUCUAUGGUUUGUAAACUUCUUUAGUGCGGGAACAAAGCGGCGUCGUGACGCCUGAUGAGUGUACCGCAAGAAUAAGCAUCGGCUAACUCCGUGCCAGCAGCCGCGGUAAUACGGAGGAUGCGAGCGUUAUCCGGAUUUAUUGGGUUUAAAGGGAGCGCAGGCUGCGAGGCAAGUCAGCGGUCAAAUGUCGGGGCUCAACCCCGGCCUGCCGUUGAAACUGUCCUGCUA